UGGGGAAUAUUGGACAAUGGGCGAAAGCCUGAUCCAGCCAUGCCGCGUGUGUGAAGAAGGUCUUCGGAUUGUAAAGCACUUUAAGUUGGGAGGAAGGGCAGUAAGCGAAUACCUUGCUGUUUUGACGUUACCGACAGAAUAAGCACCGGCUAACUCUGUGCCAGCAGCCGCGGUAAUACAGAGGGUGCAAGCGUUAAUCGGAAUUACUGGGCGUAAAGCGCGCGUAGGUGGUUCGUUAAGUUGAAUGUGAAAGCCCCGGGCUCAACCUGGGAACUGCAUCCAAAACUGGCGAGCUAGAGUAGGGCUGAGGGUGGUGGAAUUUCCUGUGUAGCGGAGAAAUGCGUAGAUAUAGGAAGGAACACCAGUGGCGAAGGCGACCACCUGGGCUCAUACUGACACUGAGGUGCGAAAGCGUGGGGAGCAAACAGG
rnacentral:rRNA from 1 species